AUUGAGCGCUGGCGGCAUACUUUACACAUGCAAGUCGAACGGUAACAGGUUAAGCUGACGAGUGGCGAACGGGUGAGUAAUGCAUCGGAACGUGCCCGAUCGUGGGGGAUAACGCAGCGAAAGCUGCGCUAAUACCGCAUACGAUCUGAGGAUGAAAGCGGGGGACCGUAAGGCCUCGCGCGAUCGGAGCGGCCGAUGUCAGAUUAGGUAGUUGGUGGGGUAAAGGCCUACCAAGCCGACGAUCUGUAGCUGGUCUGAGAGGACGACCAGCCACACUGGGACUGAGACACGGCCCAGACUCCUACGGGAGGCAGCAGUGGGGAAUUUUGGACGAUGGGCGCAAGCCUGAUCCAGCAAUGCCGCGUGCAGGAAGAAGGCCUUCGGGUUGUAAACUGCUUUUGUACGGAGCGAAAAGGCUCUCUCUAAUACAGGGGGCUCAUGACGGUACCGUAAGAAUAAGCACCGGCUAACUACGUGCCAGCCGCCGCAGUAA
rnacentral:rRNA from 1 species